rfam:Dipodomys ordii contig_3278, whole genome shotgun sequence.
GGGAAGGUAGCUCAGUGGUAGAGUGCUUGCCUAGCAUGCAUGAGGCCCUGGGUUCGAUUCCUCAGCACCA